GCAAACUAGUUGCCCACCUCUUAUGUUCUUCAACAACAGGAGUGGGAUUUUCAAGAUUUUAUUUGGGAAUCGUAAAGCACGAGUUGGUUAUAUUAUUCUUUGAUAGUUACAAAACCUAUAUCUAUGUGAUUAUAAUAAUUAUUUUCUAUUAUAAGGUCCUUCUCUUUUGUUAUGAGUUCAUUUAAGGAUUAUUUAUUCUGCUGAUAAGACAAUGCAUGUCUCCCAAGAUCAUCCUGAAUUGAUCUGCAGUUAAUAUUCAGGAUCACGCUUUGUGAUAUUUCAUUAGACACAUUGACAUGAUUUGUCCUGUAAAUUCCAUUUUUUUUUCCAGGAGAUGGGAAGAACAUUCACACGCUAACGCUCCCAAACUCAUCAUCAUCACCAGAUAAAAACAUUGUUGCUUCAGUAGAUCCAUUUAAUGUAUGAAUGUUAUAGCAAAAUGUGACACCCCAUGAAGUUCUAUUUUGUGACUCUGAGUCUCUGAGUCAAAGAAACACACGGUUGCUGAUGCAAAAUUCAAAUUAUUCAGAAAUCAAACUAAGAUUACACCAGGGAAACAGACUACUGCUAAGUAUGGUUUGCACUAUUCUUAAUGUAGGUGGGAGUCUGAAACAAUACAAUGUUUCAGUAUGGUUUCCCGCUGAUUCUCUGUGCCCAGAUCUAUGUUAAGUCUUAAACCAAGGCAGGGAGCUUAAAUUUGGUCCCACAGUGGUUAACUUCAGAGGGUUGAAGGAAGUUGGGCAGUAUAAAAUGCGAAGUUGUAGAGUAGUACAAGCAUACCUUUCUCGGCCUUUUGGCUAAGAUCAAGUGUAGUAUCUGCUCUUAUCAGUUUAAUAAUAUUAAAUUAAUUUUUUUAACGGGGGAGUUCCCACCACAGAAGCUUGCUGCUGGGGUUCUCGCGCGUCGCCUUUGUGUUGCACUAUUGCAAAGGCCUGGCGCACCCCCCACCAAUUCUAAUCUUAAAGCUUUCAGCGUGAGGAUAGCAGUGGUUUGAAGUCUGCUGUUUUGGUAUAUGUAUGUAUGUACAAGUCCUACCUCGGCUCUCUGAUUCACUCAAGCCCUGCUCAAACAUAUAAGGCAGGCUGGUGGAGAGAUUUAAGGGAUGCAAGUUUAAGUGGUUCAGAAAACAACAAUCCUGCACCAAACAACAUAUUCCAAAGACUAUACGGUCAAAACGGUAACGGCCGAAUUGACACGACACUAGAUCAAUCAUAUGCUGCGGAAUCGUGAACUCGGUGCCCAAUCUUAUGCUGCGGAAAAACUGAUCACUGAAAUGAAGAUCAACCCAAAUGCCUUUACAUACGAAGAGAGCAUUUAGGGUUUGUCAAAGAAAUGCGCCGGAGGAUAUUAUCACUCAUCGAUGCCACUAAAUCUCUGUUAACCAGAUUCUUGAACUUUUAGUAUUUAGACUGGUAGCAUGUAGAUCCGAAUUCUUCAUAGUAAUUUUCUGAAGUAUAGAUUUCCUCAAUCUAUGAACAACAUCCUUUCGUCAGCUGCAUCAAAUGCAUCUAAAUCUAUAAAAUUGGAGUGCCACUGAACAAAGGGAUCCCAGUAAGCACCAGUGGUCUAGUGGUAGAAUAGUACCCUGCCACGUAUAGACCCGGGUUCGAUUCCCGGCUGGUGCAUUUCUAUUCUUUUUUGCAUUGUGCUGCAUUUUGAAGU